UGGGGAAUUUUGGACAAUGGGCGAAAGCCUGAUCCAGCAAUGCCGCGUGUGUGAAGAAGGCCUUCGGGUUGUAAAGCACUUUUGUCCGGAAAGAAAUCCUUGGCUCUAAUACAGUCGGGGGAUGACGGUACCGGAAGAAUAAGCACCGGCUAACUACGUGCCAGCAGCCGCGGUAAUACGUAGGGUGCAAGCGUUAAUCGGAAUUACUGGGCGUAAAGCGUGCGCAGGCGGUUUGCUAAGACCGAUGUGAAAUCCCCGGGCUCAACCUGGGAACUGCAUUGGUGACUGGCAGGCUAGAGUAUGGCAGAGGGGGGUAGAAUUCCACGUGUAGCAGUGAAAUGCGUAGAGAUGUGGAGGAAUACCGAUGGCGAAGGCAGCCCCCUGGGCCAAUACUGACGCUCAUGCACGAAAGCGUGGGGAGCAAACAGGAUUAGAUACCCUGGUAGUCCACGCCCUAAAACGAUGUCAACUAGUUGUUGGGGAUUCAUUUCCUUAGUAACGUAGCUAACGCGUGAAGUUGACCGCCUGGGGGAGUACGGUCGCAAGAUU
rnacentral:rRNA from 1 species